GACGAACGCUGGCGGCGUGCUUAACACAUGCAAGUCGAACGGAAAGGCCGUUUCGGAGGUACUCGAGGGGCGAACGGGUGAGUAACACGUGGGUGAUCUGCCCUGCACUCUGGGAUAAGCCUGGGAAACUGGGUCUAAUACCGGAUAGGACCGCACUUUAGUGUGUGUGGUGGAAAGUUUUUUCGGUGUAGGAUGAGCCCGCGGCCUAUCAGCUUGUUGGUGGGGUAAUGGCCUACCAAGGCGGCGACGGGUAGCCGGACUGAGAGGUUGGUCGGCCACAUUGGGACUGAGAUACGGCCCAGACUCCUACGGGAGGCAGCAGUGGGGAAGAUUGCACAAUGGGCGCCAGCCUGAUGCAGCGACGCCGCGUGGGGGAUGACGGCCUUCGGGUUGUAAAAUCCUUUCGCCAGGGACGAAGCGUUUUGUGACGGUACCUGGAGAAGAAGCACCGGCUAACUACGUG
rnacentral:rRNA from 1 species